rnacentral:rRNA from 1 species
CCUACGGGAGGCAGCAGUGAGGAAUAUUGGUCAAUGGGCGCGAGCCUGAACCAGCCAAGUAGCGUGAGGGAUGACUGCCCUACGGGUUUUAAACUUCUUUUAUAAAGGAAUAAGGUGAGGCACGUGUGCCUUUUUGUAUGUACUUUAUGAAUAAGGGUCGGCUAACUCCGUGCCAGCAGCCGCGGUAAUACGGAGGAUCCGAGCGUUAUCCGGAUUUAUGGGGUUUAAGGGGAGCGUAGAUGGGUUGUUAAGUCAGUGGUGAAAGUUUGCGGCUCAACCGUAAAAUUGCAAUUGAUACUGGCAGACUUGAGUACAGGUGAGGUAGGUGGAAUUCGUGGUGUAGCGGUGAAAUGCGUAGAUAUCACGAAGAACUCCGAUUGCGAAGGCAGCUUACUAACCUGCCACUGACAUUGAUGCGCGAAAGUGUGGGUAUCAAACAGGAUUAGAUACCCCUGUAGUC